UACAGAGGGGGGCAAGCGUUUGUUCGGAAUUACUGGGCGUAAAGGGCGCGUAGGCGGCCGCCUAAGUCAGACGUGAAAUCCCUCGGCUCAACCGGGGAACUGCGUCUGAUACUGGGUGGCUUGAAUCCGGGAGAGGGAUGCGGAAUUCCAGGUGUAGCGGUGAAAUGCGUAGAUAUCUGGAGGAACACCGGUGGCGAAGGCGGCUUUCUGGUCUGUAACUGACGCUGAGGCGCGAAAGCGUGGGGAGCAAACAGG
rnacentral:rRNA from 1 species